UACGUAGGGUGCGAGCGUUGUCCGGAAUUAUUGGGCGUAAAGAGCUUGUAGGCGGUCUGUCGCGUCUGCUGUGAAAAUCCGGGGCUCAACCCCGGACUUGCAGUGGGUACGGGCAGACUAGAGUGCGGUAGGGGAGACUGGAAUUCCUGGUGUAGCGGUGAAAUGCGCAGAUAUCAGGAGGAACACCGGUGGCGAAGGCGGGUCUCUGGGCCGUAACUGACGCUGAGGAGCGAAAGCGUGGGGAGCGAACAGG
rnacentral:rRNA from 1 species